CCGGGUGGGGAGGCCUGGCCAUAUCCCCAGGGUGUCCUGGACGUCACAAUACGAGGGCUAACGGUCUGUAUUUCCCAGGGCUCGUGAGUUUCCCAGGACCCGAGCCGUCCAGUGUUCAGGACAGUAUCUGGUCAGUGCACACAGGUCUGCCGGGUUGUAUUUGUCAUCCCAGCAGAGGCAGCGGAUCACAAGUUCCAGGCCAGCCGGGACUCCGUGAAAAACCAAACCAAUCAAAAAGGGACCCUCCUUACCUGAUUUGUGAACGAAAACAAGUCUCCCAUCUCGGUGGUGUUUCUUGUCAUUUCUUGGCGUUGUUACCUAUUCUGCCUGUUUGAUUAAGCAUCACUGUGCACGGAUUCUUUCAUGUGCCCAGUGGAGUUUUCCAGACUUGUGACAUCAUAAUAGUGCUCCUGCCCUGAGUUCCUACCUUGGGCUCUCCGAUGAACUGUGAACCCAGAGAUGUGAGCCAAAUAAACCCUUUCCUCUCCAAGUUCGUAUUGGUCAGAGUGUUUUGUCACAGCAAUUGAAAGCAAACAAAAACACUCCCACAGUGUGUCUGUAAUUACUCUUCAGAAGAGCAUCUUCCACUUAAAAGUGCAGGGCAUGGUGGCACACACCUGUAAUCUCAGCACUUAGGAGGUAGAAGCAGGAGGAUCAGGAGUUUAGGGUCAUCUUUGGUUAUAUAUGGAGUUUGAGGUCAGCCUGACCUACACGAGACCCUGACUCAAAAAAACCAAACAACAGAAAGCACUGUGAUACUGACAGAGGAUGAUGGCAUGUGGGACCAGCAGGCUAUGCGAACAUCAGUGAUGUCUGCAGUUCGACUUGGUUUCAAUAUAUUUUAUAAAAUUUAGAAUCACAUGUGGGGCUGGUGAGAUGGCUCAGUGGUUAAGAGCACUUGCUGCUCUUGCAGAAGACAUGGUUUGGUU